rnacentral:snoRNA from 1 species
UGGACCAAUGAUGACGACCGAUGGCAUAUGAGUCAUGCACAAUGAAUAUCAUGUGUCUGGAACUCUGAGGUCCAA